GGAACCAAUGCCGUCCCCAACACAGACGCCGCCACCGCCGGCUUUCAGAUCUCGCGAGAAUGCGGGCUCGUCGGCUGGCCCACUGAUUGGCCAAAGCUUAGCCAACUCGCUCACUAGCGCGCGCGCGAUGGCGCUUUCCCCACCCCUUUCUCUCCGCAGCACGCGGGGCGCUAGAGGGGCUAAGGAGGUGGGGCCUGGGCUGCGCGUGGAGGCUGGGUGAGCCAAUGGGCGUCCGCCCGUCGGCGCGAGGAGCGCUUUCGCGCGGCCCCCAACGACCCCUCCAACGGCCUCCUCCUACUGGUCACCCUGUUGCCCUUCUUUUCUCAGGUCGUGUCUGGGUAGCCGGAGAGAUCGAUGCGGCCUGUUCCUUGAUCAGCCCAUGGCACCAAACCAGAAUCCCUGAUACCAGACCGCACAAGAGUUAGGCCCCAGUCAAGCAGGGCAGUUCCUUGUCUCUGCUGUCUUGAGGCGUCGUGGGAGGAAAUGCCACCUGCCCAGCUCUCCUGCCUCCGGGCGCUCAAGAGCCGGCCCUGGGGCCUUCCCGGCUUCCUUUUCAUGAAAUGGGAGAGGAUGGAGAUUAAACCUGGUGAUUUAGUUAAUGUAGGAUCUCUCUUCUCUACAACUUAAUAGUUGUUCCGUGAGGCUCCAGUGACUUACCCAGGGUCCUUGUACGACAAGAGAUGGGAUUUGAACCCUCUAUUCAAUAUGCCACACUUCACAAGAAUUACUGUAUAUCAUACUGCCUCUCCUUGGAUCCAAAUGUGACAAAGCACUGGACCAGUGUCACUUUCCAAGAUGAAGAAUAUCCAACAUCUUCCAGGUCUCUGUAGCCUUUUGUUUGGCCCCCCCAGAAAGACAAUCCCAGAGUAAUUUCCCACUUCUUUUUUCCACUCCUUCCUGAACCUCAAUUGAGACCCCCUAAAUAAAAUGCAUCAGUUAUUGCAUGUGGGAAAAGAGAGGAGAUGCUAGUGAAGACGGAAGUGACAUUUCUCCAUCAAGAAGCUUAUAGUAGACAGUGGAAAGGAAAAUUCUGGCAGAAGGCUUAUCAAUAGCCUGAAAAGCAAUUGGAAUUAUUGCCUAAAUAGGCCAUACCCUUUGACCUAGAGAUGCCACUACUCUGCAUAUAUGCCAAGAAGGUAAAAUAAUCUAAUGCAAAUAUUUAUAGCAUCUCUCAUUGUAGUAGCAAAUACUUGAAAACAUUUGCCCUUCAAUAUGAGCAUAGUUAAAUUGUGAUACCUGAAUAUAAUAUUACUAUGCUAUAUGCAAUAUGAAGAAUUCAAAGAAGCUCCAACUCUAUACACAGUCAAGGAUCAUAAAUUUAGAGCUAGAAAAGACCUUAGAUGCCAUCAAGUCAAAUGUUAUUUUACAGAUAAAAAAAAUACGUACAGAGAAGGUAGGUGGUAUGCCUGGAGUAACAACUAGGAAGUAUCAGAAGCAAGAUUUGAACCCAAGUUCUGACUCAAAGUCUAGCACUCUCAUUACUCCAUCAUACUGCCUCUCCUCCAAUACAGAUGUGACAAAAGCAGCUCAAUUUCGAGUCCUGCAUUUUAAUAAUAGCUAACAUAUAAUCAUGUUUGCUAUGUACCAGGCCCUGUGCUAAGCACUACAUCUUAUUUGAUCCUAGAGAGUAGGUACUUUUAUUAUCCCUGCUUUACAGUUGAAACUGAGGCAGUCAGAGUUAAAGAAACUUGUCCAAGGUCUUAUUUGAACUUGGGUCUUCCUGACUUCAAAUCUAGCACUCUAUCCAUUUAGAUCCUCUGUUCAAAAUUGCACAGGUAGUGAAGGGCAGAGUUAGGAUUCAAACUUGAGUUCUGUAUUCUGUCCACUGGCUUCACACUACAGCUAAUUAGGAAAGCUAAAAAAUAUGUGCACAUGUAUUUAUAUUAUAUUCAAAGUAAACACAAGGUAAUUUGGGAGAGAGGAAGUAAUAGUGGGGAAAGGGAGCAAGAAAAGCCAUGUCUGCGCUUAAGUUGAGCCUUGAAGGAAGCAAGGGACUUUAAAGGUGGAAUUGAGGAAGAAAAGCCUUCCAGGUGUGAAAGCAGGCUUGUUCUAAGAUACAGAUAGGAAACCAAAAAUGGUGUAGGAGAGACAGCUGGACUGUAGAGCACAAGAACCUGAAUAGGAAGACGUAAUAAGCCUGGGAAGAUAGGCUGGAACGGGCUUGGUAAAUUCUGUUAAGCCUGAUCUGAGGAGUUGUAUCAUCCUAAAAAUAAUAGGGAACCACUGGAGCUUUUUUAUUGGAGGAGUGACUUAAAGACCACAAUUCAGGAAUAUCACUGGCAUCUAGAAAAGCCUUGAGGCACUGAGAACAAUUAGGAAGCUUGAAAUCCUGAACUAAGGUGAUUGCUACUUGAAUUGGAGAAAGACACGGGUGAGAAAGGUUCCAGAGAUAAAAUUAACAAAACUUGGCAAUUGUUUCCAUCUGAGUAUCUGAGAGAAAGUGGUCAAGAGAAAGAUGAAAUCAUAGAAAAGGCAGUAGACUGGAAAUAUCUGGGUUCUAGUGUUUUGUAAGGCACUUUGGGGCACAGUGGUUCGAGGGCUGGCUCUGUACAGGAAGAUCUGGGUUCCAAUUUACCUCAAAUGCUAGUAGCUGUGUUGACCUUGGGCAAGGGACUUAACCUCUUUCUGCCUCACUUUCCUCAACUGUAAAAUGAGGAUAAUAACACUACUUUCCAGGGGAGUUAUGAGGAUCAAACGAGAUAUUUGUGAAGUGUUUAGCAUAGUGCUCAGCACAUAGAAUGCCUUUAAUGAGUACUUCUUUCCUUCUUCUAGACCCCACCCCUCCUUUACCCCUACCAUUACCUAGCCAUGAGACCUCAAAGUCAUCUAUCAACUCUUUUGGCCUCAUCUAUAAAAGGAAGUAUAUGAGCUAGAUCAAAAGUGUCAAAUAAGCAGCACACCUACCCCAACCUGCCUUGCUCUCCAAUUUCUGCCAAAAUCAGAUUAAAAUGUAUUUGGGAAAUGUUUAACAAAAUAAAAAUACAAUAGAACAUAGGCAAUAUUAACAUAUAGUCUUGGCCUGCAGGGAUCUUCACUGGCUCCUGUUUCUAUUGGAGUUUGUUACCUAGCAAACAUGCCUUCAAGCUCUAUACUCUUAUAAUUCUUCCUACCCUGAAAAAACUAAGAAUAAAUGUUCUAAUUGUGUA